rnacentral:rRNA from 1 species
GAUGAACGCUGGCGGCGUGCCUAAUACAUGCAAGUCGAACGAGACAUCGUUUUAGAUUGAAGGUGCUUGCACCUGAUUGAAAAAACAUUUUGUCGAGUGGCGGACGGGUGAGUAACACGUAGGUAACCUACCCAAAAGAGGGGGAUAACAUCUGGAAACAGGUGCUAAUACCGCAUAACAACAUUUAUCGCAUGAUAGAUGUUUGAAAGAUGGUUUCGGCUAUCACUUUUGGAUGGACCUGCGGCGUAUUAGUUAGUUGGUGAGGUAACGGCUCACCAAGACGAUGAUACGUAGCCGAACUGAGAGGUUGAUCGGCCACACUGGGACUGAGACACGGCCCAGACUCCUACGGGAGGCAGCAGUAGGGAAUCUUCCACAAUGGACGAAAGUCUGAUGGAGCAACGCCGCGUGAGUGAAGAAGGUUUUCGGAUCGUAAAACUCUGUUGUUGGAGAAGAAUGUAUCUGAUAGUAACUGAUCAGGUAGUGACGGUAUCCAACCAGAAAGCCACGGCUAACUACGUGCCAGCCGCCGCAGUAAAAC